CAUCCCGUAGUAUUUAUACUUAAAAUUAUGGCCUAACCCUAACCUAGUACACAUAUUACAUUCCGAUGUCCGCCAUCUUGGUUCGCAUACUUCGGGAGCCCCCAAAUUUAAAUUUGUAAACUUGGUCAAAGAUACUGAUUUUGUUGUGAAAUAUAAAAAAAAUCUUUUACUCUAGGUCAUAAAAAGCACUUUUUCAAAAAGCAUCAAAAAUGAGCCCAAACAAGUAUCAAUCUGGCUAACUUAUCAAUAAAGCAUUUAGGUAUUCCGAUUAACCCUAUCUUGUGAAAUCAUUUUUCCAAAGACCACCAAUUUUGUCCAAAUGCAAUCUCAUUCUGUCUAACUAACUUUUUUUUUCACAUUAUACAUUGUCAGCAUUUGGGGAUUAAGGAUGUCUCAUCUUCUUAAUAGAUGGCUUUAUAUGAUUUCUAGACAGUGGUGGGAUUCAAAUUUUUUGUCAGCCGGUUCCUUCACAAAAGUCAUAUUUUUCAGCCGGUUCUGUUACAAACAGAACAUUGACAGUAACCAGUAAAGCUAACCGGUACGCUGAUCUCAUAAAAUUUCGUGAGACGGUUUUAUAGAACCGGUGCGAACCGGCUGAAUCCCACCACUGUAUCUAGUCUAGAGCUACUAAUAUGUGACUAUAAAUCUAUAUAGCAGUGGUUCUCAAUCUUAUAUUGCUUGUGGCCCCCUUCUGGAGUGGAGGAUGUUAGCACUCUGUGAAAUACCCUUAUCAAUCAAUAAAACAGGAAAGUUUUCUUGUCAAGGAAAAGUAAAUUCAGUUUUGAGCCUAGCAUUGUGCCCCCCCAUACAGUGUUAUAGAUUUUCAAUAUUCCAUGCCAAUUUCAGAGGUCGUUAGUAACUUUGCCCAGAAAUAAGUAGGAAUGAGUGACACUGCUUUGAGCAUGUUCUCAAAUUUGCAAAUUCAGAAAUGAGUCUUUCUUACUUCUUCUGAGUGAGUGUGCGUGACCUCGCUUUGAGCAAAUAAUUUAUGCCAAUUUCAGUGAUCGUGAAUAACUUUGUCCAGAAAUAAGUAGGCAUGAGGGAGCUUGCUUCGAGCAUGUUCUCAAAGUUGCAAACUAAAAAAUGACAAGUCUUUCUCACCUCUUCCGAGUAAAUGUACCGGACCUUGCUUUUUAAAUUGAAAAUCUCAACUCACGAACAUCCCUAGAUUCGCAUGUGUUUCAUUUUUAUGUGUCUCUGAGUCUUUUUUUUUUAAUUAAAACUAACAAAGAUGGCAAAUUUUAUUUCAACAUGGCAACCAAUUCUACGCACUGUAUUUUAAAACGUGUUACUUAUACUGUUAAAAAAAUUGUUCAAUUCAUUUUCAUUUCACAGUUACUAGUCAAAUAUGAGCUGUGAAGUCGAGUAAAAAUAAACCAAACUCUUUGUAAAAAAAUUCUGGAUCCUGUUGGAAAUUUUUUUUUGACUCCAGUCACCUCUCCCGAUUUUGACUGUAAUCACAACUAUAAAAAGACUGAAAUUUUACCCCGAAAUGUCUUUUUCGACUCGAAGUAGUUUGAAAAUACCACUAUGGCUCGUACAUCAAUGAAACUCGACAGAACUCCUACUUUGCAGCCGUGGAAAAAAUGGCAGAGCACGAGCGAUAGUUGUUUUUUUAUUGAAAAAUAUAAAUUUACUUUUCAAAUUGAGGUGAAAUACGAGUGAAUUAAACGAUUUUUAUCACAAUACAGUUCGUUAUAAUAAUGUGCUUUUCAUGCCCGCCCAAUUUCUUUUACUUUAUCUUAAAUAAAAAUAUGAAUUUUAGCAA